AGGMAAUCAGAAUGUCCACUUGAUCGCAAACAGCUCAACAUAGAACAGGACGUGUUUGAUGACAAGGCAGCAGAACGAGCUGUGAAGUCACUGCGUAUCACGUGUUCCAGAAGAUGUAAGGGCUGUCCAUGGCAGGGAGAGUUAGCAGAUGUGAAGGUGCAUGAGCAAAAGUGUGACUACAUGAUUGUACCUUGUACCUUUCAACGCKCUGGAUGUGMCUUCAAG